UACGGAGGGGGCAAGCGUUGUUCGGAGUCGCUGGGCGUAAAGGGCGCGUAGGCGGUGCGUAAAGUCAGGCGUGAAAGCCCCGGGCUUAACCUGGGAAUUGCGCUUGAUACUGACGUGCUAGAGAACGGGAGAGGAUGGCGGAAUUCCCAGUGUAGAGGUGAAAUUCGUAGAUAUUGGGAAGAACACCGGUGGCGAAGGCGGCCAUCUGGACCGUUUCUGACGCUGAGGCGCGAAAGCGUGGGGAGCAAACAGG
rnacentral:rRNA from 1 species